AGGACGAACGCUGGCGGCGUGCUUAACACAUGCAAGUCGAACGGAAAGGCCCGCUUGCGGGUACUCGAGUGGCGAACGGGUGAGUAACACGUGGGCAACCUGCCCUCAGCUUCGGGAUAACACUUGGAAACAGGUGCUAAUACCGGAUAAUAACCUUUCAUCGCAUGGUGUGGGGUUCAAAGUUUUUCGGCUGGGGAUGGGCCCGCGGCCUAUCAGCUUGUUGGUGGGGUAAUGGCCUACCAAGGCGACGACGGGUAGCCGGCCUGAGAGGGCGACCGGCCACACUGGGACUGAGACACGGCCCAGACUCCUACGGGAGGCAGCAGUGGGGAAUAUUGCGCAAUGGGCGGAAGCCUGACGCAGCGACGCCGCGUGAGGGAUGACGGCCUUCGGUUGUAAACCUCUUUCAGCUCUGACGAAGCGCAAGUGACGGUAGGAGCAGAAGAAGCACCGGCCAACUACGCGCCAGCAGCCGCGUAA
rnacentral:rRNA from 1 species